GUACGAUACUUACGUAGGAAGUACUAUUGAAGCUCAAAUACGAGUAUAUUUGAAACAAUGGAGCUGAUUUUACAAGGAAAACUGGUUUAAGCAAACAGAUCCGCGAUUUACCAAAGCCAUUAGUGAUUAUACUGGGGAAAACAUUAUUUUGUCUAGGCGACUCUUGAUUUUACGGAAGAAAUUUAUUAUUUCACGGGAAAAGUAACUUUUAAACCCCUUAUUCUAAUCAGGGCAACCUGCGAUUUCACAGCAAAUAUUCGGGUGCAAACCGUGAUUCUUCUGGAGCCAUACGUUAUUGUAAGGGGUUAACAAAACAAUUAUUUUACCGAACGUGCGUGAAUUUCGGUAAAAACAAUUCACGUUGCAAAAAAUUGUUUUAUCCAAAAUCACAGGUUAAAAGUAAUUUUCAAUGCAUCUGCGUGAAUUCCGGCUAAAAUAAUUCACUUUUACACUGUUGCAAAUAGUUGUUUUGGCCAAAAUAAAAGUCAUUUUCAAUGCAUUUUCGAACUCUGCUUAAAAUAAUUCACCUAUACACUUGACCUGUUGCAAAAGUUGUUUUGGGAAAAAUCACAGGUUUGAAAUAAUUUCAAAGCAUUUGUGAAGUGAAUUCCUGUCAAACCAAUUCACGUUUACAAAAGAACUAUUGCAAAAGUUGUUUUGGGAAAAAUCACAGGUUAAAAAUAAUUCCAAAGCAUUUGUGAAGUGAAUUCACGUUUACACAAGAACAAGAA